rnacentral:rRNA from 1 species
UAGAGUUUGAUCCUGGCUCAGGAUGAACGCUAGCGGUAUGCUUAACACAUGCAAGUCGAACGGAGUUUCUAAUAUUGACUUUCGGGAAUUUAUUUUAAACUUAGUGGCGAACGGGUGAAUAACACGUAAGAACCUACCUUUAAGAAGGGGAUAACAGUUAGAAAUGACUGCUAAUACCCUAUAUACCUACGGGUAAAAGAUUUAUCGCUUAAAGCAGGGCUUGCGUCUGAUUAGCUAGUUGGUUGGGUAAAGGCUAACCAAGGCAACGAUCAGUAGCUGGCUUGAGAGGGCGACCAGCCACACUGGGACUGAGACACGGCCUAGACUUCUACGGAAGGCAGCAGUGAGGAAUUUUCCGCAAUGGGCGAAAGCCUGACGGAGCAAUACCGCGUGGAGGAUGAAGGUUCAUGGAUUGUAAACUCCUUUUCUUAGAAAAGAAAUCAAUGACGGUAUCUAAGGAAUAAGCAUCGGCUAACUCCGUGCCAGCAGCCGCGGUAAGACGGGGGAUGCAAGCGUUAUUCGGAAUUAUUGGGCGUAAAGCGUCUGUAGGUGGCUAAAUAAGUCUGGUGUUAAAUACUGAAGCUCAACUUCAGACCUGCAUCAGAAACUAUUUAGCUUGAGUACGUUAGAGGCAGGGGGAAUUCCCAGUGUAGCGGUGAAAUGCGUAGAUAUUGGAGGAACACCAACAGCGAAGGCACCCUGCUGGGCCGAUACUGACACUCAAGGACGAAAGCUAGGGGAGCGAAUGGGAUUAGAUACCCCAGUAGUCCUAGCUGUCAACGAUGGAGGCUAAACGUUGUCCAUUUGGCCAGCGUUGAAGUUAACGCGUUAAGCCUCCCGCCUGGGGAGUACGCUCGCAAGGGUGAAACUCAAAGGAAUUGACGGGGACCCGCACAAGCGGUGGAGCAUGUGGUUUAAUUCGAUGCAACGCGAAGAACCUUACCAGGGCUUGACAUGCCGCGAAUCGCUAUGAAAAUAGUGGAGCCGAAAGGCGCGGUCACAGGUGGUGCAUGGCUGUCGUCAGCUCGUGUCGUGAGAUGUUGGGUUAAGUUCCGCAACGAGCGCAACCCUUAUCCCCAGUUACCUUUUUAGGAACCUGUGGAGACUGCCGGUGUUAAGCCGGAGGAAGGUGAGGACGACGUCAAGUCAUCAUGCCCCUUACGCCCUGGGCUACUCACGUGCUACAAUGGCUAGGACAAUGGGAUGCCACCCUGCGAAGGCGAGCUAACCCCAAAAACCUAGUCUUAGUUCGGAUUGUAGGCUGCAACUCGCCUACAUGAAGCCGGAAUCGCUAGUAAUCGCUGGUCAGCAAUACAGCGGUGAAUACGUUCUCGGGUCUUGUACACACCGCCCGUCACACCAUGGAAAUUGGCUAUGCCCAAAAUCGUCACCCUAACCUUUUGGAUGGGAGCGCUUAAGGUAGAGCUAGUAACUAGGGUGAAGUCGUAACAAGGUAACCA